AAAACAUCGCCUUUUGUAAAAUAUAAAAGGUCCAGCCUGCCCAGUGACUUGUUCAACGGCCGCGGUAUCCUGACCGCGCGAAGGUAGCGUAAUCACUUGUUUUCUAAAUCAAGACUAGUAUGAAUGGCAUCACGAAGAUUCCACUGUCUCCUUUUUUCACUCAGUGAAACUAAUCUUCCCGUGAAGAAGCGGGAAUAUACUUAUAAGACGAGAAGACCCUAUGGAGCUUUAAACUAUGAGUCAUCUACAUAAUUAGAUUCUUGUCUGAAAUAUUUUGACUUUUACGCUUUAGGUUGGGGUGACCCAGGAGAAAAAAUUAUCCUUCUGAAUGACAUGGAUCUUCCUUAGCAAUAAACUACACUUUUAAGCACCAACACAUUGACAUUCAUUGACCCAGUCUUCUGAUCAACGAACCAAGUUACCCUAGGGAUAACAGCGCAAUCCACUUCGAGAGCCCAUAUCGACAAGCGGGUUUACGACCUCGAUGUUGGAUCAGGGUUUCCCAGUGGUGCAGCCUCUACUAAAGGUUCGUUUGUUCAACGAUUAAAACCCUACGUGAUC
rnacentral:rRNA from 1 species